AACAAAAUAUUAUUAAUAAAUGUAAUCUCUAUAGUCUGACCGCAUGCAAAUAACAUAACUUGUAAAAAUAUGUGAUUGUUUUUAAUUUCAAAAACAAAACUUGUAUAAUUGGGCUACGGACGUCAGAACAAGUAGGAUAAUUAUAUUUAAGAUGGACAAGAUUUCUAUCAUAAUCUAAGCUGUAUACAUCAUUGCCUAUUCUUGAAAAGAUUGUUAAAAAUAGAACUAUUUUUAAAAGUUCAAGAAAAGAUAAAUGAAACGAAUAACCCAUUCUACCCAAAUUAAAUCAUAGCAUUGCAAUUUUCUAAAUAAGAAAUAUUUUCAAUUUAUAAAUAUAUCAUUUAAUAUUUACAUUUCAUAUAGUUUUGCAUGUUAAGUGUGUGGAAAGCUACUGCAGAUGUACAUGUAUCACAAUAAUGGUCAAGAUCUAGUAAAUGAAAGGUGCCUACAGGUUCAUGAAAUUUAAGAUAAAAUUCUUUCAAUUGAUGCUUCAUAUAAAAAGCUUUGUUCGAUAGGGUGUACCGGGGCUAAAGGUUUUAGUAAACACAAUGAAAAUUCAUGUUUUAAACUGUCAUUUUCUUUGAAAUAUGAAGAAAUUGAGGAACAAAUUUCGGGGUUUUGUCCAUUUUGACUAAUGAAAUAUAUCUAGAAUGGCUACAGUCUCUCCAAAAACAGAUUUAAACAAAUUCUUGACCUCUUCUUUAAAAUGAUGUCAAAUAGAAUAUAGGUAUCGGAAUUACUUUUCCCAUGAUUUAACAAAGAAUGUCAAGAAAUUGUUUAUGAAAUGGUUCUAGCACCAAAAAGACACCCUGGAAUCAUUUACUAGAUCUUGACCAUCACACAGAGAUGAUACUGAAAUCAAAGUUUUAAUCGUGAGAUUACAAACGUUGAAUGCCGUUAAGUGCAACGUCACAAGGAAAAUAAAAGAUCACGCUUGGAGCUGUUACGCUGGCUAUUGCAUUCAUCUAUAAAUAUUUGCAUUUCCAUUGUUCUUUCCCACUGCAAGACCAUACGGAGGAGCUGCAAUUAUUUCUCUAUAAUCGCCAUUGCUCUGUCAGUAUACUAUGACGUCAUAAAGGUGUAACGUUAUAUAUACUUUUCCAUGACGUUAUAGAUUUAAACCACUAUACGAUACAUCAUGUGUUUUUCUCCAACUCGAUUAAAAUUGACGUAUUUACAUGUAAUAUUAAAACAUGUUUUUGAUAACAUUAUAAAGGAAUUACUGUUAUAACAUAUCAUUGAUUCUGUUAACAAAUCUAUGUGAAUUAAAAAGAUACAUUACAGUC
rnacentral:misc_RNA from 1 species